UGGAAUUGUUUUAAUGUUGACAGCUACACACAGCAAGAUGGAUUUCAUGUCUACCACAGAGAAAGCUGCCUUUGUCCUGUCUUUAUUCAAGUUGAGUCUGUCCUGACUAUAAUACGCUAUGAGACAAGCAUAGAUUGUAUGAAGUAUUUUGGGGCUCAAGGCAUUGAUGGAUCUAUCUGCAUCAACUGAAGAAAUGAUUUCUGGAUAUAACACAUUUGCUAUUAUUGGAAGAUGAACAGAGGGACAGAAUACAGAACCUCUGUAGAAGCCCAAAGGAGACUGAAACAUAGCAUUCCAAAUAAUUUUGGAAAAACAACACUGAGGGCAAACAUUUCCUUUAUAUAACUUGGCAGACCAGUGCUAAAAAAUGAAAUGUGGAUCUCUAGCACUUGGCAACAGCAAAUGGCCAAAAAAGGUCUUGAGUGAAUAAUAUGCAGAGCAACUGUGAGUUUUAAUUCAAUUCAUCACAAAAAUUAGGAAAAGAUUUUCUACCUUGCCAAAUUCUGAACUACUUUUCUCAUCUGUUUCUUUUUCUCUCUCUCUCUUUUUUUUUUUUAAAAAAAAUCAAGCCCUAACAAUUAUUUUUCUAUUACAAAACAUACUAGCAACAUAGAAUUAUUGAUAGCACAGUGCUGGGAAUGUUAUUGACUUAAAAAAAAAAAAAAAAAGAUAUCUUAAAAGGCCAAAUCCCAAGUCUCUCAUUAAUUUUGUUAGAAGGUAACUUAUCUACAGUGGGUCAGCCCUGGAAUGGCAAGUCUUGGUGAAAGUAAUCUAUCAGUUGCUAUCAAAAGAUCCCUUGUAACACAAAGUUCAGCCAAAUUUAUCUGUCCAUUCAGGUUAUCAUGUCCUGUUUUCUUAACCUAGAAAUUUGCUCAGAGAGCAUUAGCUCACCGCUAGCUCCAUAGCCCCUUUCCCACAGAAGAAAAACUGUAUUUAUAGCAUUUUUUUUGUGUGUGUGAAUUAAAGCUGUGAAGCAAUAUUGGCCUUUUGAGGCCAAAAUACUAAAUAUUCUGAGCUUGUGUUACCAUAUUUGGCACCAAAAUGUGUACCCAUAUUUUUUCCUUUAAGUCAAAACAUCUGUUGAAAACUGAUAGGUAUCAGUAGAUGAGAAGUGGUCAUUCUUAAUGCCAUUGAUAAUAAGAGGGAAAUAGACAAUAAAAAACUGUCAGUGAAGUUACAAGUAAUGAAAGCACUGAAUCAGAUAAAUAGGAACUGGCCAAACUCAUUUAGUAAAGCAAACCAAGCCUGGAAAUCUUGGGGGAGAAUUCUAGGUGGAGCAGAUCAAAUCCUUGACACAGAUCCUGUUAGUGGUUUGCCAGUAUUGCCUAUCCUGAGCCAAGGACCAAGCACAGGCUUUGGCAACGCUUAGCUUCCUAGCACAGUUAAGCUUCAUGUGAGGUGCCAGUAAUGACCCAGAUGCAGUCACCUUCAAACAACUUCCUAGUUUAUUUAUUCUGAGUGAUCACAAUACUUUACAAAUUGCUUGCAACAACAAAGAAAAAUGUCUUGUUGAAUCAAGUUGUCUGAAGAGAAGAUGUUGUAGGUUUGCCCUACUGCAUGGAGAACAGCCAGGCCUUAGCAGAGAGUUUGAAGAACUGCCGACAGUGGACCUGUAGCAGCAGAAGACUAGGUUUUGGGGAGUGUGAGUCGCAUCUACCUUGAAACAAAAAUGGCUUCUUAUAUUUUCAGGGAUUUUUCCAUUACUUUAGGUUUUAGAAUAUAAUUUUCAUUUUAAUAUAUUUUAGCUUUUCUUAUAAAUUCAAUUCCAAAAGCAGUGUAAAUCAAAGCAUUUUCUGUAUGAGUUGUGGGAAGCACCUAAGGUUUCUGAUUUUCUAUAAUGAGCAAAAGAGAAAUGGGUCGAAGACAUCUUUGCCUGUGUUCUGAACAAUCUUUUAUUGUUAAAAACCUUAUUUUCAACUGAAAAAAAAAAAUAUUCAGAAAUCCCACUGAUUUCAGGAGACCAAGAAACUGACUGAGACUCUAUAAUGUGGGACAUGAAAGUUUCUGAAGUAUCAGGUUUCAUCGUAAGAUCUGGAAAUCUGUCAAGUCCUGCUAGGCAUCAUUUCUUACACCGAGUGAAAAAUCACUUUUUUUUCUUUGUCUUCUCUUUGCCAUUUCAUAGGCCCAGAAGCUCUUAGGAUUUAUCAGCAGAACAUAGCAAAUCCCUAGUGCUGCAGAAAGUCCAGUAAGAAAUGACAUGCUUCUGCAACUAAAAACAACAAAGCCAAAAUCUAACCAAAUAAAAACAAACAAACAAACAACAAAAUACAAACAGAAGCGAGCUUCUGACAGUGUGGGAAGUGGCCUAAAUAAGACCAUUUUUAGGAACUACUGAUACGAUACAUCAGGAAAUUAUAGACUUAUUUCUGCAGUUUUGCAUUGGUUCUGGGGAAAGUCUUGGAAAUGGCUGUAAAAGACCAAAUGGAAGAAUGGUCAGUAAACCACAUCUUGAAGCAAGGACAGCCAGCAUGGUCUCAAGUAAGGGAAGGGCAUGCCUCGCUUGCUUGCUGGAAUUGCUUAAGCCUGUGCCUGCCAACACAAACACGGGGAAUGCUGUGGACACUGCAUAGUUGGAUUUUCAGAAAGCACUUGCCAGAAUUCCUAACUGAGAUUACUGUCUAAUGUGCAAAGCCAUAGCCUAAUUCGGAAUGGGCAAAGGGGGCCCCCGCAGAAGUGAAAGGCAGCUCAUUGGGCAGGGAACGAGGCAAACCCCCUGAAGGCAUGGGGAAGUUUCUGCUUCUAAGAGCUGGCCUUACUAAUAAGCUUCAAAAUGCCUGGCAAGUUGGACAUGGUUUGGAUGUGUAAGUAGAGAAAAGGAGUUGCAACACAUCUGGAGGCACAAAGAGCUCAUUUUAUUAUUAAACAUGAAAGAUAAUUAAUAGCCAAAUUGUAAUUUUGCUAAUUUUGUAAAAGUAAAUUUCAAGAUUAAAGAAACUCAAAGCAAAGGGCAGAGCUGUACUCACCAAAUCUCUACACAGCCUAUUAGAAAAAUAGCCUGAGACACAUCAACAGAGUUUUUAGCCAGAGCUACUGAGAAAAAAAUGAAGGCUAGAGUAACUGUGAGGUUGUAAAUAACUGAAAUGUCAAGUUAGUUGUGGAACUGAACAGAAAAUAAAAACUUGGUUUGAUCUGAAAGUUGAAAAAGUUUAUUUGAGGUGAAAAAAAUAUUGGGAACCAGGACAAGCAAUCUGAUUCAAUAUAAAAAUAUAAAUUUUAAUUUAUAAAAUAUAUUUCCAAAUACUAAUAGAAAGAAAGAAAAAAAAAAGCCAGAAAAAAAAUAAGAAAUAGGCCAAAAUUCUUUUUUAACUACUGUGCAAUUAAGGCACUCACUCAGAAUUUAGGAAACACAUACCCUCUUCUAUCUUCCCACUCAUGCUGACUUUAACAAGUCCAGUAUAAUGUAUUAUAACAUUGGAUGUACUUCCUUUUCUGUUGAAGCUGUUCUUUCUGCCAAAAGUAUUUAUAUAUUCAUUUACUUGAAGGCAGAAAAUAACAGUACUCACUACCUGUAGGGAAACAGACUAACCCCUGAUCUAAUUAUUAUUUUACAUGAGGUAAAUUCAGUGAAUUCAAUAUUGACACCUCCAGAUUGGACUAGAUGACUUCCUUCCAGUCAGAAAAAUUAGAUGAAUCUAUGAAAAUCUCCUCAACAGAGAGAAUAUUGUGUGGUCUGGUAAGCACCAACCUUGGAAGCCCCCAGCAUUUCAAGUGGGUAUCAUAACUGCUCCUGGAUUAAGACAGCUGUCCACUUCAUUACCAUGCAAACCUGGUGAAUCACUUCACAGUGAAUCACCUCACAAAUUUCAUCUGUCUGGUUGUCAUAAAAACCUACUCUCAUUCUCCCAGAGCAGAGAACAUGAAACACAAUGUGUAAAAUACUAAUAUUUUUACAAAGAUGGGUCUAAAAUUAUACAUCGUAAAGGUAAAUUAUAGAAGCCAGAGCUUGUAUUUAAUGUCUGCAAAAUCACCUAAAACUUUUUCUUUAAUCUAUCCAUACAAUGAACAGAUGGCUAGUCAUAGCAAUUGCCAGGGACACUUAUAAAUGAAAUAUUUUUCAUGCUUCAGUAUGUUUGGAGAUCAUUACUUGGACUGUCUUGUACAUUGUAGUACAAGUCACUCCUUUUUGUAGGUUUAAAUAUGUCUGUGGUGCACAACUUAAUAUUUUUGCUUAAUUUCUGUACUUUAAAAACAAACAAACAAACCAUCCUGUAUUAACAAGUUAAGGCAACACAGAGGAAGAUAUGGCCCCCACUGGAUUAGGCCACUGUGCAGUGUGACUUCUUCACAAGGUGGGAAGACCUCAACUCUAUCUGUCAUUGCUAAUAAGAGAAGAAAGGGAAAGCACAAGCACCCCACAAAUCUGCAACCUGAUCACAAAAAAGACUGUGAAAUAUCAGAUGCAGGAAGGAGCUCUGUGGCAGCCAAUUCAGUGUUCAGAGAGUGGCAUUCAGUAGCAGCCCAGUUCUUCCUAUUUACACAAUUGGACUAAAAUAAACAGGAGUUUAUAUCAGGCAACAAUUGCACUUGAAGACUUCCUUGAAACCCUCAUCUCCUUCUGUUUCCCAACCCUUCAAUUUCAAUGACCCUUUAAAGAAAUAAGCCUGUUGCCAUAAAGCUUUGUGUCUUACUUCUCAGUGCAUUUUGCACAAAUAAGUAACAUCGUUAUCAGACUCAGAAUCAGAAUUGUGGUGAAUCAGCAGCAGGUCAUUAGGAGCCAAAAGCAAACACCAAGUGUUUCACUUUUAUACUACUACUUUUUACACAUGCAGUCAACUAUGUGAGGAUGAAACCUCAUAUUAAAAUAACUUUCUGCAACACCACUGCUGUCGUUAGAUUGGGUCUUGUACCUCUGAGUUAUAGUGAAGGGAUUAAAUUAAUGAAUGACAAGUUGGUUUGCUGUACACUACAGAAAAUACCAGUAACAAUUGAAUGGUAUUUUGCAGAAGAACAGAAAAAUGCAGUUACACGUACAUCAUAAAGUCAUUCAGUGUUUACUGUUUGUUCAGUGAAAGUUUGUCAUAAAUCAUGGAUGAAUGCAACUGCAGCAAUGUAAUUACAGUACUGUACUUUAGGAGGGUGAAGGACUGUGAUAACUUAGGGAUUGCUUAAGUACUAAAAACCAUGGCAAGCUAUAUAAUUCUGGAGCACCAGGUCAGCAAACACAAAAAAUGGCAAAAGAUGAUUUUAAGAAAUAUUAUUAAAAAACCUCAAUGGGAGAGCUGUGAAUCCAGAUUCUAUUUAACACAAACCACUAAAGCCUGGAGAGAGAAGGAGUUCCUCAGGACAGCCCUGGGUUUGGCAUGCUGUUUGCCAUUUGAACAAGACAAACUGACUGGCUAUUUUCCUGUAAUAAAAACUAAGUCUGCAAAUAUUUUUCCAAAAAUAAAAGAAAAAAAAAAUACCACUUUCAUGGUCCAUACUUGAAUGACUGGGAUAAUGGCAUUGGGUAAGUGGUCAUUGAACAAAUGUUUAUAGCAAAUAGUGAGACACAAGCAAAUGGCAAGUUACAGGCAAAUCACCAGGCCAUUCCUCCUCUCAAGAGAAUUAAGCUUAGUGAAGCAAGCUGUAUGGUCCUUCUUGUUGCCAUACAAACAUCCACAGAUACCCUAGCAUACGUUCUGUCAUAUAUACACUAUAGACAUGGAAAUUAUAAUUCAAAGCACAAUGCUGUAAUUUUAUGAAAUAGGUUGGGAAAAUGCUACACUACCUCACAUAAAACAUAAGCCAGUGUUCAAAAUUAGCAAGCACUACAGAUCUGUUCAUGUUCUACAUUGAUUUUUUAGCCCUGUUAAACUGUCACACAGAAUGAUAGCAAGUGUCAAAGUGUCCUGUUAGGUUGAAGACAAGGGCUAUUGUUUAAUUGUUAGCAAUGAACUGAGAACAAU